rnacentral:rRNA from 1 species
AAUGAACGUUGGCGGCGUGGAUUAGGCAUGUAAGUCGUGCGGAAAGGCUCCUUCGGGAGUACUCGAGCGGCGAAAGGGAGAGUAACGCGUGGAUAUCUACCCCCUGGACUGGGAUAGCGGCGGGAAACUGCCGGUAAUACCAGAUAAUGUCUGCGGACCAAAGGUGUGAUUCCGCCGGGGGAUGAGUCCGCGUCCUAUUAGCUAGUUGGUGGGGUAAUGGCCCACCAAGGCAAAGAUGGGUACCGGGUGUGAGAGCAUGGCCCGGCUCACUGGGACUGAGACACUGCCCAGACACCUACGGGUGGCUGCAGUCGAGAAUCUUCGGCAAUGGGCGCAAGCCUGACCGAGCGACGCCGCGUGCGGGAUGAAGGCCUUCGGGUUGUAAACCGCUGUCAGAGGGGAGGAAAUGCAUGAGGGUUCUCUCUCAUGUUUGACCUAUCCUCAGAGGAAGUACGGGCUAAGUUCGUGCCAGCAGCCGCAGUAAAAC